rnacentral:rRNA from 1 species
CAUUACGGGUACGGGGAUUAGGGUUCGAUUCCGGAGAGGGAGCCUGAGAAACGGCUACCACAUCCAAGGAAGGCAGCAGGCGCGCAAAUUACCCAAUCCCAACACGGGGAGGUAGUGACAAUAAAUAACAAUAUGGGGCUCUUACGGGUCUCGUAAUUGGAAUGAGUACAAUUUAAAUCUCUUAACGAGGAACAAUUGGAGGGCAAGUCUGGUGCCAGCAGCCGCGGUAAUUCCAGCUCCAAUAGCGUAUAUUAAAGUUGUUGCAGUUAAAAAGCUCGUAGUUGAAUUUCGGANUUUGUCGGUUGGUCGGGCUUCACUGUCCGCACUGACCUGAUGGAUUCCUACCUUCUGAAUAACCAGCAUGCUAUUAAGUUAGUGCGUUGGGGAAGCAGAGCUAUUACCUUGAAAAAAUUAGAGUGCUUAAAGCAGGCUUGUGCUUGAAUAGAUUAGCAUGGAAUAAUAAAAUAGGACGGCAUGGUUCUAUUUUGUUGGUUUCUAGGAUCACCGUAAUGAUUAAUAGGGAUAGUUGGGGGCAUUAGUAUUCAAUUGUCAGAGGUGAAAUUCUUGGAUUUAUUGAAGACUAACUUCUGCGAAAGCAUUUGCCAAGGAUGUUUUCAUUAAUCAAGAACGAAAGUUAGGGGAUCGAAGACGAUCAGAUACCGUCGUAGUCUUAACCAUAAACUAUGCCGACUAGGGAUCGGACGAUGUUAAUUUUUUAAUGACUCGUUCGGCGCCUUACGGGAAACCAAUU